rnacentral:rRNA from 1 species
GACGAACGCUGGCGGCGUGCCUAAUACAUGCAAGUCGAGCGGACGAUUCGAAAGCUUGCUUUUGAAUCGUUAGCGGCGGACGGGUGAGUAACACGUGGGCAACCUGCCCUGUAGACGGGGAUAACACCGAGAAAUCGGUGCUAAUACCGGAUAACACGAAAUGUCGCAUGACGUUUCGUUGAAAGGCGGCGCAAGCUGCCGCUACAGGAUGGGCCCGCGGCGCAUUAGCUAGUUGGUGAGGUAACGGCUCACCAAGGCGACGAUGCGUAGCCGACCUGAGAGGGUGAUCGGCCACACUGGGACUGAGACACGGCCCAGACUCCUACGGGAGGCAGCAGUAGGGAAUCUUCCGCUAUGGACGAAAGUCUGACGGAGCAACGCCGCGUGAGCGAAGAAGGCCUUCGGGUCGUAAAGCUCUGUUGUUAGGGAAGAACAAGUAACGUAGUAACUGACGUUACUAUGACGGUACCUAACGAGAAAGCCACGGCUAACUACGUG